AACGAACGCUGGCGGCAUGCCUAACACAUGCAAGUCGAACGUGAUCCGGGGCUUCGGUUCCGGUGAAAGUGGCGGACGGGUGAGUAACGCGUGGGAACCUGCCCAGUGGUAGGGGAUAACCGCGGGAAACUGCGGCUAAUACCCUAUGUGCCCUGCGGGGCAAAGAUUCAUCGCCAUUGGAGGGGCCCGCGUCGGAUUAGGUAGUUGGGGGGGUAACGGCCUACCAAGCCAUCGAUCCGUAGCUGGUCUGAGAGGAUGAUCAGCCACACUGGGACUGAGACACGGCCCAGACUCCUACGGGAGGCAGCAGUGGGGAGUAUUGGACAAUGGGGGCAACCCUGAUCCAGCAAUGCCGCGUGAGUGAUGAAGGCCUUAGGGUUGUAAAGCUCUUUCGGCGGGGAAGAUGAUGACGGUACCCGCAGAAGAAGCCCCGGCUAACUUCGUGCCAGCCGCCGCAGUAAGAC
rnacentral:rRNA from 1 species